AAUGAAAUACAAUAUUAACGUUGGUAAAAUCUAUGUGAGUCAGUUGCUGUUCAACUACUGUUGAGAAUACAACACGGAACAAGAGGCGCUUAAAGACAUCAAGAUGAAGGAGUUCGUUACACUUUGUAUUUUGGCUCUCCUCGUCGUUGGAUCUCACUCAAAUACACCUUGUGAAGAUAUCGAUCCUAUGGUUUGCGGACUCCCAGGGGCACAGAAAUAUUGCAACAAUAAACCAUAUUUGAAACGUAAUUGUCCCGUACUUUGCGGAUUAUGCAAGAAAGGUAGGAAAAAGUG